UCGGGGAUAGCCUUUCGAAAGAAAGAUUAAUACCCGAUGGCAUAAUAGAACCGCAUGGUUUGAUUAUUAAAGAAUUUCGGUUAUCGAUGGGGAUGCGUUCCAUUAGGCAGUUGGUGGGGUAACGGCCCACCAAACCUUCGAUGGAUAGGGGUUCUGAGAGGAAGGUCCCCCACAUUGGAACUGAGACACGGUCCAAACUCCUACGGGAGGCAGCAUG
rnacentral:rRNA from 1 species